AACGACUCUCGGCAACGGAUAUCUCGGCUCACGCAUCGAUGAAGAACGUAGCAAAAUGCGAUACUUG
rnacentral:rRNA from 2 species